CCUACGGGAGGCAGCAGUGGGGAAUUUUGCGCAAUGGGGGCAACCCUGACGCAGCAACGCCGCGUGAGUGAUGAAGGCCUUCGGGUCGUAAAGCUCUGUCAGAGGGGAAGAAAUGCAGGUGGUGAACAACCAUUCUGUUUGACGGUACCCUCAAAGGAAGCACCGGCUAACUCCGUGCCAGCAGCCGCGGUAAUACGGAGGGGGCGAGCGUUGUUCGGAAUUAUUGGUCGUAAAGCGCGUGUAGGCGGUUUGUUAAGUCGGAUGUAAAAGCCCCGGGCUCAACCGGGGAAGGGCAUGGGAUACUGGCAGACUGGAGUACGGGAGAGGAGAGUGGAAUUCCCAGUGUAGGAGUGAAAUCCGUAGAUAUGGGGAGGACCACCGGUGGCGAAGGCGGCUCUCGGGACAGAAACUGACGCUG
rnacentral:rRNA from 1 species